UACCUCAAAAUUCCGCAACAGUCUGUUUCAUCAGUAAAGAAUCAUCUGGCGGUACUGAUGAUUCUUUACUGAUGAAACAGACUGUUGCGGAAUUU